GCGCCUGCCGAAGGAGGCAGCCUUGUCAAUGAAAAAAAAGGUUUUGCAGGCAGCCCGACAAGGUACCCUCUCGUGAUCCGCAAUUCUGCGGAUUCAAAAUCCUUC
rnacentral:sRNA from 1 species